UAAACUCUUUGCAAAGAAGCAGAACCCAGAGUUGGUUGUGCAGUUUCUCAAACAACACUGCCAGUUACCAGAACUCCCCGCUGUUCCCUCUUGGCCUCAUUCCUCGCACUCCCCACUCAGUGACAGAGGUCUUGGGAUGGCUUGAAAUUCUCAGCUGAGCUUGGAGAGCCCUCAAACCAGCAAGUGGUUUCCCAGAGGGAAAGGGACGCGCAGGACACACGGGACUCAGCCCAGCCCGUGGGUCGUCCGGAAGCCCAUCUGAGCCAAGUUUACGUUCAGAGACCAUGGGAACCCUGCGUUUCCGCCCACCUCCGAAACGCUUCUGUCCACAGGGGGAUGGAGGCAGCGACCUGUACUGCAGGACCUGCAGGCAGUUCUUCAGCUCCCUGCACAACAAGAAGGAGCACCUGCUGGGGAAACAGCACCUGCAGAACCUGACAGGGAAAUUCGAAAAAGAUUCCACUGAGUACUUAAAGCAUCUGGAACCUCGGGUGAAGGAGGAAUGUUGGAAUUUGCACAAAGGGAACUUGGAGGAGGACGCCGAGUGCCCUGAUCCACUUCCACUAGGAGGCCUGUUUCCAGAGGAGCGUUUUUCUUCACUCGACUUGUGUUUCUUGCAAGAGUUUAUCUUUAAACUUCUGAAAAUCAAGGAAUUCGAGCUCCAGGAGCUGAGGAAGACUCUAGAAAGAGCCCGAGUGGAACAGGAGGACUUGCAGAGGCAGCUGGUAAAGUUCCAGGUGAGGCACCCGGGGAGGGAAGCACCCACAUCCCGGCUCCGUGGCCCCCUGCUCAGCCAGGGCCCUGCAGUGCCGGGAAGCCAGGGAUGAAGCCUACACGGUCUGCUAAACACCGCGUCACAAACCCUGAUGUCCAUCGCCUGUGCACCACCCAGGCGCGAGCGAGUGUCCGUCCGUGUUAUGUGUCCUUACAAAGUGCAGUGUUCUGUCUGGAUGUGAGGCCCAGGGAUUGUGCUGCGGGCCUGCUCGUGCCGUGUACUUGUUCAGCUCAGCGCUCUGUGGUAGCCACGUCGCCAUGUGGCAUUUGGCCCGUUACUUCUCACUGGGGCGGUUGUCCCCAUUCCCUCGUGGGGGCCCCCGGUGUGUCCCCAGCCCCUCCCGACUACGGCUGGGGGUGUGAUGAGUGUCCCUGCAUGUGUCCGGUGACGGCAUCCGUGGUCUGGAUCACACGCCCCCAGGGAAAGAUCCUCUCCCUGGGCAGGUUUGCAUAAAUUCAGGCGUGCAUGGGUGGCAUCUAUUUUAAUGAAAAGCUCAGAGAAGAAAACGAGGGGAAACCAUGCAGAAAAUCAGUUUUUAAAUGUGUUAUUUUAUUCUGAUUAUAAAAUUAACAUAUUCAUGGAAGAAAAUUUUGAAAUUUCGGAAGAGUGUGUGAAGAACGUUUAAAUCCAAUCCUUCGAGAAACAUCCUUAGCAUGUCAGUGCGGCGGCCUCCAGGCUGCCUUCUGUGUGCCUCUCAGUCUGUCUAUUCCUGUAGAUGAAGGGAACUAUAUUGUCCGUAGGUCAUCACGGAUCUCUCCAGGUCUAGAUAAAUAUGUCUCUCUCUGUGGAGGGAGGGAGAGAGGGAGGUAGGAGAGACAGACUGACAGGAAAGAUUGGGAUGGGAGACCACAGUUUUGAGUCCUACGCUUUCCAUUCUAUGACAUGGUGAGCCUUUGCGUGUCUCCCUCCCUGUGCUUUCACGAAUCACUCUCGUGACCGUACAGUUUCAUCAGAAGGAGGAACCGUAGUUGAGUCCCCGUUUCCCACUCGCUGGGCGCUUGGGUCACACCCAGGAAUUCUGUCACAAAUGACGCCGUGCUGAACGUUCUGUCCAUCUCUGCACUCAUCCUCAGCGGCGCCCCUCAGAAGGGGUGCCUGCAAGUGCCAUGGGCAGGGGAUCGAAUCGGGCUCUGCCCUCAGCAGCUGUGUGCCGAGGGAAUGUCCCCGGUCCUUGGUCUUUCACGUGUCAGCCGGGGAUCAUGGCGGGUCUGCCCCCUUGGGUGGCCGUGAGCCAUGAAAUGCCCGACUCCAUGUGGAGCUCCUGGAGGGCUCUCUGGCAGGGUACCUGGUGCCCGAUGAUGUCACCAUCACACAUAGCCCUCUGGGGGCUGUUCCCCGCAUGCUCCCUCCAGCAGGCUCUUCACCCCAGACUUCUCUGUUCCCCAAAAUUCUGCUGCAAUUCCUGGCUCCUUUGAGUGUAGUUCGUCCCCUUUCCUGCAGCUUGCUAAAAAAUUCUGAAGAACGCUGAAUGUUUAAAUAAUAAUAAUAAUAAUAGUAACAACAGGAAAGAAAACAACUAGCUAUCCAAAGACGCCACAGCCUGACCCAGCAGCCUGGGCGGCAGGGAGGGUGUGUGCCAUGGGGGGUGGGGGCCUGCCCCUUACUGUCCAUGACCUGCGAGCAGGGUGGCUCACUGAGAUCCCAGUCCACAUCGCAGGGGAAGACAGCUGUGCCCCCAUGCUGGCGAGGCCCUGGCAUUCAGACACCCUUUCUCCGUGGGUGGGAGCCCAGCCCUGCACAUGCUCCUUACCCUGAGGCCGCCCCAUGCCUUCCCUGGCCCGGGCCUGAUUGCUGCUGUGGAGCCGUGCGGCCGGGAGCCUGAAAGCAGCCAGCUCAGAAGUCCAGUGCCACCGUGCAUCCAGGCCCCCCUGCCUGGCUGUGGGGCUGGGCGGGCAUUGACCCCUGGGAACCAUGCUUCCCCAGCCUAUAGAAGGAGCUACAGUGAGGCAGAAUGGGCCCAGGGAGGGGGCGGGGUAGAAGGAUUUUAAUGGUUGGGGACUGUGUCUGUGGCUGGCUGGCCUGCUUCCAGGAGCCGUGUUGGUGGGGUGGGGGGGUUGCCCUUCCUGGUUUAAUUGUUGACUUAGGAGUUUACUUAUUUACUUACCUAUAUUUACUCAUUUACUUGUUUUGUACUUUAUUUCCUUAUUUAUUUCCUUAUUUACUUUUAAUUUACUUACUUUUUUUUUGUACUUUCCUAUUCACUUAUACGUAUAUUUAUGCACUUCUUUAUUCACUUUGUUGUCUAUUUACUCCUUCAUGUGCUCACGCAUUCAUGCCCUGGCGUGUCUUGCUGCUGCCGAGGGCUGGCCGGCCGUGAACACCCAGGUACCCCUUGCAGAGCCAGCAGCAGAGGCUGGAGGCGGAGCUGGCGGGCCUGAAGACCUACCGCAUCAUCCUGGAGAAGGAGUUUGAGAACCUGAACAUGGUGCUGAUGCUGUCCCGCUUCGGCUGCAGGUGAUGGACACGGGUGAGCCCCUGUCUCAGGCAGCCCCUCCCCACUCCCCUGGCCCCACGCACCCCGUGUGUGUUCUCCGCCCCAGGCCCAGUGCAUAGUAGGACUCCAGGAGUAUUCGAGGGGAGGUCAGGUGAAUGGAGGGCAGCUGUGGUUUGUGCCGGCAUCUGCAACAGCCCUUGGGCUCCAUCACAUUUUUGUGGCGGUACACUGCUCUGAACCCCCCUUCCAACUCUGCAGCGGAGAGCAGUGUCCCUCCCCCGCACCGGCGUCCGGCCCUCUCCCAGCGGCUCCCGGGUCAGCUUCCACACGGAGGCACCUCUCUCCUCGGAGAAAGGACCGAAGAUCCUGGGACUUACGUACCGGACAGUGAGAAUGGCUCUACUGACGAGAAAAUAAAUUGGGUGUGUAUGUUUGUGCAGCAGACUCGCUCUGUCUUUCUGCCCCGGUCACGGCAGGGUCUGUGCUGUAGGUACUCCUCCCUCCCGGGGGGGGAAGAGUUGAGCAGCUUUGAUUUGGGAAGAUUUUGGUCGAGUGCUUCUGUCUUUCCACAGCUAAGCACUGCAGGGACUAGGGGCACCCCACCCCUACCCCCACCCCUGCUCUGGGAGCACACCCCCUCC
ensembl:lncRNA